rnacentral:rRNA from 1 species
AUACGGAGGAUCCGAGCGUUAUCCGGAUUUAUUGGGUUUAAAGGGUGCGCAGGCGGCCAUUUAAGUCAGCGGUUAAAUCGUGGGGCUCAACCCCAUUCUGCCGUUGAUACUGGGUGGCUUGAUUGCGGUCGAGGUUGGCGGAAUUCGUUGUGUAGCGGUGAAAUGCAUAGAUAUGACGAAGAACACCGAUUGCGUAGGCAGCUGACCAGACCGCAAAUGACGCUCAUGCACGAAAGUGCUGGGAUCGAACAGGAUUAGAUACCCUGGUAGUCCGCACAGUAAACGAUGAAUACUUGUUUUCGGCGAUAUAAUGUCGGAGGCAAAGCGAAAGCGAUAAGUAUUCCACCUGGGGAGUACGCCGGCAACGGUGAAACUCAAAUGAAUUGACGGGU